rnacentral:lncRNA from 1 species
UGUAAUCGUCAUAUAGGGCUAACCCCCUGAAUUGGAAUGCAAAAACAUAUAUUUUUUAUCACCGGUAUUGCACUUUUACGAUGGUCCCUAAACCAUCAGAGGCCCAUGAAACAGUAUAUUGCAUCAUUCUCGGCUCUGUUAAGGGAAGAGUUUGACUAUCGCUAAAAACAUAGUGUGUACCUUGCUCUCUACGGUUAUUCAAUUCAAUAUAUAUAUCACUCUCAUCAUCCUAGCACCUUCCGUCUGAGAGCUAUUGACGAGCAAACCCGAAUAUCGAAAGUAAAAACACAUUUACUGCGAUAUUCUACCCAACCAGGAGAUAUCACAAGAGAAGCUUCUGUGGAUUUGUAACAAUAAGAUUCAUUAUGUAGUCAAAAAGGACGAACUCCUGAGGUGAGAGAUGAUCCUUGUAGGUUUUUGCUUUUGCUUUUUUUCUAUGCAAGCCGCCAGGGGCAGGCUAGAGGACAUUCCACCAAUAGCCUACCGCUUCCUGGUCAAGUAAGCAGCAGGCAGGGCCGCCCAUCUGGAAACACGGGACUGACUGUGCAUGCCAACACUGAUUGCGUUGGUGACUGUAGGCCAAGCAGGGAGGUGUGUCUAGUGCAGUUGGAAGAAAGAGGUAAAUAGGUGGUGCUUGUGUGAAUAUCGUGGCGACCGAGCGUAGGUGUUUUGUAUGUGACUGUGUAUCAACAGAUGUGCAUGUGUCCAAGUAAAAGCACUGCGGCUGUUAAUCUGGACAGAAGCAGCUCGUAGGCUACCUGACCGAGGAGGUCUGUUUGUUACUGCUUCCUGUUAUGGUUGUGCAGGACAGACUUACAAACUGCCAGACUGACCCUGACGAACAGACACACAGUCAGACAAUCAUGGAGCACAGCCCUCCACACUUCCUCCAGCAGAAGGGCUAAGAGAAGCUUCCAGGCAGUGCUGACUGACUGAUCGCUCUGCUCCCCCCAUGGCCAACAACAGCAGUCCAGACCAGGGUCAGAGCCAGGGUCAGGGCCCCAUAGCCAAC